UGGGGAAUAUUGCACAAUGGGGGAAACCCUGAUGCAGCGACGCCGCGUGAGCGAUGAAGGCUUUCGAGUCGUAAAGCUCUGUCCUAUGGGAAGAUAAUGACGGUACCAUAGAAGAAAGCCCCGGCUAAUUACGUGCCAGCAGCCGCGGUAAUACGUAAGGGGCGAGCGUUGUCCGGAAUUAUUGGGCGUAAAGAGUGCGUAGGCGGCAAAUUAAGUCAGAUGUGAAAACUAAGGGCUCAACCCAUAGAUUGCAUCUGAAACUGAUAUGCUUGAGUCAAGGAGAGGAAAGUGGAAUUCCUAGUGUAGCGAUGGAAUGCGUAGAUAUUAGGAGGAAUACCGGUGGCGAAGGCGACUUUCUGGCCAUAUACUGACGCUGAGGUACGAAAGCGUGGGUAGCAAACAGG
rnacentral:rRNA from 1 species